rnacentral:rRNA from 1 species
AGUAACACGUAGGUGACCUACCCCAAAGAGGGGGAUAACGGCCCGAAAGGGCUGCUAAUACCCCAUGUGAUUAACGAUUCGGUUCGUUAAUGAAAGCUUCCGCAAGGAGUGUGCUUUGGGAGGGGCCUGCGGCGGAUUAGAUUGUUGGUGGGGUAAUGGCCUACCAAGUCGAUGAUCCGUAGCUAGUCUGAGAGGACGAUUAGCCACACUGGCACUGACACACGGGCCAG